CUACCUCGUGCCAUAUACAUUUUGUAAUGCAUUUGGGUUUAUUUCAUUUAUUUUGUUUUAUUUAACUUUUAAUUUGUUUUAUUUUUCACAGCUCUACCAACACAUAGUUUUAAGUGGGGGGAGUACUAUGUAUCCUGGAUUGCCUAGUCGCCUGGAGAAAGAAAUUUUAGACCGUUAUCUUGAAGCUGUUCUGAAGGGAAACAAGGAUGGGUUAAAGAAACUACGGUUGCGGAUAGAGGAUCCACCGCGAAGAAAGCAUAUGGUGUACCUUGGAGGAGCAGUCCUUGCAGGAAUUAUGAAGG